rnacentral:rRNA from 1 species
UGGGGAAUCUUGCGCAAUGGGCGAAAGCCUGACGCAGCGACGCCGCGUGAGCGAUGAAGGCCUUCGGGUUGUAAAGCUCCGUGGGGAGGGAAGAAUAAGGGUUGGCUAAUAUCCAACUCGAUGACGGUACCUCCUUAGCAAGCACCGGCUAACUCUGUGCCAGCAGCCGCGGUAAUACAGAGGGUGCAAACGUUGUUCGGAAUUACUGGGCGUAAAGCGCGUGCAGGCGGCCUUGCAAGUCGGACGUGAAAUCCCACGGCUCAACCGUGGAAGUGCAUUCGAAACUGCGAGGCUGGAGUCCUGGAGAGGAAAGUGGAAUACUCGGUGUAGAGGUGAAAUUCGUAGAUAUCGAGUGGAACACCGGUGGCGAAGGCGGCUUUCUGGACAGGUACUGACGCUGAGACGCGAAAGCGUGGGGAGCAAACAGGAUUAGAUACCCUGGUAGUCCACGCCGUAAACGAUGAGUGCUAGGUGUCACGGGCUUUGACCCUCGUGGU